rnacentral:lncRNA from 1 species
UAGUUAAUGGUAGUUCGUAUGCAAACUGCAUUAUUCCGCCCCCAAGCAAAGCUCACACCUCUGGACAUGACAUCGUAUCCUUAAUGUCUCCAGGCGAAAGUUGGUUUAUUUGUGGCGUAGGGAACCAUUGUGCUUUAUACAACCAGAAGCUGGCCAUCAAUGUCAAAGCAUGAUGAUAAGUUACCAAAUAUGACGUUAAGUUUUCAUGGUUAGAUUCAUAUGAUGAUUAAGAUGUUUUAUUUGAGAAUACUCAACUCUUAUUCAUAGUAUCUGUUUUUUAGAACGGCAGAAAUAUGUAAAAACAAGAAAAAACUACAAAGUAGCUAACUAGGGUUUGCACAACCAACAAUCCCAAAACAUUUUAUAAUUCUUAUGCCUAUUGCAAACCCAAAAAUACGAAAGGACACUAUAUCAUCAAAAAGUGAAUCUCUCCUAGGCUUCUCCGCUCCAAAAAAUUAGAUUGUUCCUAAAAUUCCAAAGAGACCAAAAUGUGACAAUAACCGGUGCAACUAAUUGAAGUACCUCAUUUUAAAAGCUGGCAUACUAGAAGAAUAACUCACAAAAUGAAAUUAGAAAAUGUGGAAGGAGAUGUUAACACCAAACACCAAUCAGAUGCCAUAAAGGGGAAAUAUUCAUGCGAUUAAUAAACAAAUGACCGGAAGACUCCCCAAUAGAAUUAGAAACGUGACAUCAUACGGAAUCCAAGUCAAUGCCUUUGUCUCUUAAGUUCAACCUUCUAGGAUUUUUGUCAUUUUGAAUGUGUCAUGAUAGAAUGUUUAGUUAAGUUGGAACUAAACAAUUCCAUCUCGUUGGGGACUAGCAAACAUAAGAAAAAUCAAAUCCAAAAGAUGUCUAGUCGAAGCAACAAUAAAAUCACCAAAUGUCUCCGGCUCUCAUAGAUACCUAUCAAUAGCAAAAUAAAUAAAUAAUCUAUGUAGCUUAAUAAGCAAAGCCUCCGCCAAUGUGGGACUAGCCCACUUGGUAAAGACUUUGCCUCUUAGUUUUGGAGGUUUCGAGUUCUAAUAUAGGUGUUGACGAUUUCGCAAUACUAACUUCUAACUAUUAAUCUCGCAGUUCAAAAAAAAAGCAAAGUAUCCCAUUGAGUAUAUUCUACUCCUCCUCUCGACACCCUUCUACAAGUCAAAAGAAGCAUUUCCUCAUAACUUAUGUUAACCACCAAAGCAUUCCGAAAUUUGUUUAUUUGUUUAGAGGAAAAACCACAUCAAAAUUGUUUGUUAACAAACCUUCACCUAGCCAAGAAUCCAUCGAAACUAGUUUAUCUCCGAUCCCAACCUUAAUCUUACACAAAGAUUUUAGGUCACUCCCUUUAGACACUAAAUGAUCAAUCGAACACAAGACAUUCGAUCAUAUACUUUACCCACCAAAGCGAGAAGGAACUCUAUCCCCCAACCAUGCACAACUUUAAUGACACGAACCCAUUAAGCUUCUGGUUACUCAAAAAUUCCCCAAUAUCAUUUAAACAAAAUAGUUGUUUUUUAAAGAGAUAAGACUUCCGGUACCAAGGUCUUCGUUUUCUUUACUAGCCAUAACCUGUCUCCAAGCAAUCCAAUAAGUCUUGCGCUCCCCAAUAUCAAUACCCAGAAAAACAUGCUCUGAUAGACUCGAUAUUCUUCAAAACAACAACCAGAGCUCUAAAAUUAGACAAAUAAUAAAUACCAAGACUUCCUAGCAUAGCCUUGAUAAGAGUCAUACGACCUACCACCGAUAGUAAUCUCGAUUUUCAUGCUGACGAUUUCAACAAAAACUUAUUAAUGACCGAUUUCAAAGUAUUUACACGAUUCAUAUUUUUUCCAAUCGGCAUCGCAAAUACAUAAAUGGUAACCUGACCACAUAACAACCAAUAAAUCUACCACCUUAUGAACCCCCUAAAAAAACUCCAACUCCGAUUAUUUACUUUUAGGUAAAUUAAUUUUUAAACCCGAAGCCAUCUGAAAAACCUUAAGGAUGCGAAGAAUUUUUAUAGCAUUUUCCAACUCCCAACAAUAUAAUAAAAUAACAUCAUCUUCAUAUAGAAAAUGAGAAACUUCUAACUCCAGUCCUAUAUCAAUUCUGCGAAAAGCACCAGCCGAACUACAGGGCCGGCUCAACAAGUUUGGGGGCCAUAAGUGAACAAAAAAUUUGGGGCCCUUUGACAUUUACUAUACUUAAUAUUAUAAACACUCCUCCUUUAUCCGGGCUUGUAUAUGUUUAUCUAUAAAAACUUCUUCUUACAUUUUUCGUUUCUUUUUUGAAGCACCAGAUUCGUAUUUUAUCUUUGAUAUGGUUAUUAAUCACUUGAUUAGUAAUAACUAUAAGUAUAGAAGAUAUGGUUUAGAAUUAUACCGCCCCUGAGAUAAUGGAAAACUCAAAAACAAUGGAAUCUGCCAAUUUGGAAUCAGCCAAUCUGGAAUCAGUGAACAAUGAAAUUUGCCAAUCUGAAAUAAAAAAUCAAAAAGAUUAAAAAGAUUAACAACUUUGAUCAUCCAUGCCAUUUGGAUAAAGCCAAAAACAAUUAAAAUACAAAAAAACCAUUCGUUAGAUUGCAAAAGAUUCAUAAGAAUUAUGUGGCUUAAUGGGUUGUUAAAAUAAUCUAGUUACUCAUGUCCAUUGUCAAAAGAUUAACCCUAAUUAAUUGGCUAUUAACCCCAACAAGGGGUGUCUCAUAUUCCAAUUCCACAUCCGUCGUAAAAUAUAUAUAUAUAUAUAUAUAUAUAUAUANNNNNNNNNUAUAUAUAUAUAUAUAUAUAAAGUGUUUGUUUGUUUUUUUUUUCUAAAAGACUAAAAUAUACAAUCUUUAGAAUCAACCAAUCAAAUGAGUCAUACCAAUCUGAUUACCUUUGGCCACUUUUCUUAACCGACAAAGCUUCUAUAUCAAGAUUAUUGCAAACAGUUUAUAGUUUUGAUUAUUCUUAUACAUAAAAUUGCCUAUCGACCUAUGUUGAAAAAAAAACAAAGAAACCAAAGAUCAUUUAAAUAAACCAUAAUAAUACCCAAGAGUAUUCCAGAUUAAUAUAACCUAAAUUGCAUUUAUUCAUUAAAGAACCUCCAAUCCUCCAUCACGGCAUCACCACUUAGUUUUUUUUCUUUUUUUUGAAAAUUUAAAAUACAAACACAUUACCUGUUACCGUUUCAAUGACUGAAUGACAGCAAAAUAGUAGCAAAUCAUCAAAUCAAUGGACAAUGAACAAUGAUUUUUAACUUUUGAGCGAUGGAGAAACCAAGAAUGAAGAAGGAAUAAGAACUAAAGUUUGAAGAGUGAAGAACAGCAGCAACGAUUCAACGGUUCAACAGAAGAGUAGAAGAAUCGAAUGGAGAAGGCCUAGAAUUGAGUCUGAGAAUGGAGAAAAAGAAAGGAAUUUCAAUCGUCGUAGUGUCGUACUCAUCGCUUGAAGAAUCGAUCAACA